rnacentral:misc_RNA from 1 species
GUUACAUUUGACAACGUUCGGAUUUGGUUGGAAAACAGAACGCAACAUUUUGUACGACGUCGUUGCCCACUCUCACCGCCAUUAUCGUCUUAGGUUAGCAAGCCCGAAAGAGUCGUAAAAAUAUCCAGCUUUCCUUCUAUCCGUUGCUCAGAAGCUUCAGAGGGAGCUAUGGAAAGAGAAUUUUAGCUUCAAAGAUAAAGUGCGAAAAAGCUUCCUUGCCUGGACCUAGUCUACUUGUCCAUAAUCAUUGUUGCAAGUCUCAUGUUUGUUAAAUUGCCUCAAUGGCUUUCUCUUCAUGUUUCAAAUGCUACCCUUGGUUUCACCAUCACCCACACCUUGCUUUCUCUUUCUCUAACAAACCCACCUCCAAUUCCACUCUUUCUGUCGCAUCCACGCGGCAACACCACUCGCUAAUCGCUACCCAAUCCUUCUCCUCCUCCAGUUCCGUUCCUCUUUCUUCCAACUUCACUCCGGAUCAACUCCUCGACACGCUCCGUCGCCAAAGUGAUGAAACUGCUGCUCUUCGCUUGUUUGAUUGGGCCUCCAAGCAGCCCAAUUUCAAGCCCGAUUCAUCCAUUUACGAGGAAAUCCUCCGUAAACUUGGUAAAGUUGGUUCAAUUAAUUCGAUGAAGGAAAUCUUACAGGAGAUGAAGGUUUCUGGUUGCGAGAUCAAUACAGGUACAUUGUUGAUUUUCAUUGAGUGUUAUGCGAAAUUUGAAUUAUACGAUGAAAUUCUUGGUAUUGUGGAAUGGAUGGAAGUAGAAUUCGGGUUGGAACCGGACACCCUUCUUUUUAAUUUCUUGUUGAAUGCUCUUGUCGACGUGAACAAGCUUAAAUUAGUGGAAACUGCUCAUUCUAGCAUGAUUAGUAGAGGAAUUAAGCCUGAUGUUUUGACUUUUAAUAUAUUGAUAAAAGCUUUGUGUAGAGCCCAUCAAAUUAGGCCUGCCAUUUUAAUGAUGGAGGAGAUGCCAAUUUAUGGUUUGUCACCCGAUGAGAAAACGUUCACUACUCUAAUGCAGGGUUUUAUUGAGGAAGGAAAUCUGGAUGGUGCACUGAGAGUAAAGGAGCAAAUGGUGAAUGCUGGGUGUACCGCGACCAACGUGACUGUGAAUGUUUUGGUUCAUGGGUUUUGCAAAGAAGGCAGAAUUGGCGAAGCACUGGGUUUUAUCAAUGACAUGUCAAAUGAGGGCUUCUUUCCAGAUAAGUUUACGUUUAAUACGGUGGUUAAUGGGUUGUGUAGGGCUGGACAUGUUAAGCACGCUUUGGAAGUUAUGGAUAUGAUGCUUCAAGAGGGGUUUGAUCCAGAUGUAUAUACGUAUAACUCUUUGAUUUCUGGGUUGUGUAAAUUGGGUGAAGUUGAGGAGGCAGUGGAUAUUCUUGAUCAGAUGAUUUCAAGGGAUUGUUCACCGAAUACUGUCACUUACAACACACUAAUUACUACAUUGUGUAAGGAGAAUCAAGUUGAAGAGGCUACUAAACUUGCUCGUGUUCUGACUAGUAAGGGGAUGUUACCUGAUGUUUGUACGUUUAAUUCUCUGAUACAAGGUCUGUGCUUGACCCGAAAUCAUGCCAUUGCCAUGGAACUUUACGAGGAGAUGAUGAAUAAAGGGUGCCAACCUGAUGAGUUUACCUACAAUAUGUUGAUUGACAGCCUCUGUUGCAGAGGUAAACUACAGGAAGCUUUGAGCCUACUUAAACAAAUGGAAUUAAGUGGCUGUGCGCGGAAUGUGAUAACAUAUAAUACAUUGAUUGAUGGGUUUUGUAAAAGCAAGAGAAUUGAAGAAGCAGAGGAGAUCUUUGACCAGAUGGAGCUCCAAGGAGUUUCUAGAAAUUCAGUGACCUACAAUACCCUUAUAGAUGGCCUUUGUAAGAGCAGGAGGGUGGAGGAUGCUGCUCAACUGAUGGACCAGAUGAUAAUGGAGGGAUUGAAGCCUGACAAAUUCACUUACAAUUCCAUGCUUACCUACUUCUGCAGGGCAGGGGAUAUAAAGAAAGCAGCAGACAUUGUGCAGACCAUGACUUCCAAUGGUUGUGAACCAGAUAUUGUCACAUAUGGGACCCUUAUUGGGGGAUUGUGCAAGGCUGGUCGACUUGAAGUAGCAAAUAAGCUCCUCAGAUCCAUUCAAAUGAAAGGCAUGGUUCUGACUCCUCAUGCUUACAACCCUGUAAUUCAAGCACUAUUUAAACGGAAAAGAACAAAGGAAGCCAUGAGACUUUUCAGAGAAAUGGAGGAAAAGGGUGGUCGUCCAGAUGCUCUCACAUACAAGAUCGUUUUCCGUGGACUGUGUAACUCUGGAGGACCAAUCGGAGAAGCUGUUGAUUUUGUGAUUGAGAUGACGGGAAAAGGAUUUUUACCAGAAUUCUCUUCAUUCUAUAUGUUGGCUGAGGGACUUUGUUCUUUAUCUAUGGAGGAGACUUUGAUUAGUCUUGUUGACAUAGUCAUGGAGAAAGCAGACAUCUCAGAAAAUGAAACAACCAUGAUAAGGGGAUUUCUCAAAAUUCGCAAGUUCCAAGAUGCAUUGGCCAAUCUUGGAGGCAUUCUUGACAGCAGGAAGUCCAAGAAAGGUUACAGAUGAAAAGAAUUUUGACACUGCUACUAGAGAAAAUGUUUAGGAAGAUGGAUGGUCUACUUGAUUGUACUGAGUUGGAACGUGAAGCAGUUCAUAGUUUUUCAUGAAUACUUAGCAGAGGACAUGCCCUUAUCAGAAUAUACAUACCGGAGAUCGGGAGCUUAGGAGUUGCUUUGAUCUUUUUAUUGUAUGGCUGUAAAAUUCUGGAACACGCUAAUGCAUGUUAAAACUAUAUAUUAGCAUUAUUUUGACUCCUAAAAUUAGGAUUCAAAGUUAAUUAAGCUCCUAAACAAAUUUCAGGGUUAUUUCUAUACUUU